GAUGAAGAACGUAGUGAAAUGCGAUAAGUAGUGUGAAUUGCAGAAUUCAGUGAAUCAUCGAAUCUUUGAACGCACAUUGCGCUCCCUGGUAUUCCGGGGAGCAUGCCCGUUUCAGAAUCAUUAAAAUCUCACAAACCUCGUUUUCUUCGGAGAUCGGGAGGCGUGGAUUUGGGAGCUUUUGCGGCUUUGCCUGCGAUGCACCUGUAAAUGAUUGUGACGUGCGCCAAUUGUCGUGUCAACUGGUCGUCCGAAGCGCAACAGAUUCAUCUAUUCGUUUUGGUCGUCUGCUGGCUGAUUUGGAGGCACGGUACUCAACUUAUCAACCGGGGUCCUGCGAUUUUGCAGGACUUGCUGAUAACUUGGUCUGAAAUCGGGCAAGAAAACCCGCUGAACUUAAGCAUAUCAAUAAGCGGAGGA
rnacentral:misc_RNA from 1 species